UCAUUUGGGCAUCAGAUUAGUGAAUGUGGUUUGUGUUCAGGGCACUUAGUCUGUACAGAAAGGUGGUGUACAAAACAUUCUCAUUUAAUAAAGUUUUAAAUGUUACUGUAUGUGGCAUUUAGGUACAGUCAUGUGACAUGUUUCUUUUUAACUUGACCUUGUAGUCAAACUUCGAUCAUGUAUUUUCUUUGUCUGAUUGUCAUUCUCUCUUUCCUGACACGCAGAUCUUGAUGUGGAAUUUGUUCAGUGUGAAUAAAUGCUCUUUCUUACAGAAUAUCUAAAGAUCCUGAUUCUGUCUUUAAAGGUAUAAUAUUAAAUACUAGCUAAGUAGCUAACAGCAGCUACAGUAAGUGAGUCAGAUAGAUAUGAAUAUUAUCUUUAAACUAUCCUGAACACAAUUCACAGUACAUGAAACGUCGCAGUGCUGUGAGAUAGUUUGAAUGUAUGACAUUUGGCUUCCUGUGACCGUCCAGUCAACAUGCCGUCUGGAACACAGGUGGGUCUUUUAUUAUUAGUUUCACACGAGUUGAGAUGACUGGAGGUUCUGGCAGGAUUUGGGGAAUUCUCUAUGAAAUAUUGGCACCUUACAAAGCCUCAUGUUCAGAGUCAGGAUCAGAAUUGAGUAUUUUGUCAUGGAGGUGUUCACACACGUUAUUGCCUUAGCAUACACAUUACAUUUGUGCAGGAAUGUGCAGAAAACUGAUCAGUAUUAUCCACAAUAUACAAACAGUUUUUGAUGUAUUAACUUUUUUAAAUUUCUCUUAUAUUUUGUGUGGAGAUGAUUAUAGGAAUGCAUAAUAAAUAUUUAAGCUAAAAGACAAAUCAACCCCUCUCACAGACAAUGAGCUCUGAUGAAAGAGGUGAUCAUGGCUGGAAUGUGACUCUUUCAGUAGUUGAUUACAAUAAAAGCUUUGGCUGGAAUGCAACUGUAGUCAUUUCACUAACACACAGCAGACAGCAGAUCAGUUCUUAAAAACUAUGCAGGUUUUAGUGGAACCUUGAGCACCUAUGGUUAUCAUUGCAAUUAUCCCAAACUCUGACACCUUAUGAAACACAGCUCAGAGCAGCUGAGAAGCUCAGCUCCAAUCAAAGACAAGUGAAGUCAGCUGGUUAAUGUUUGGUCCUGCAGACUCUCAGCCUGCCAUCAGAGUCCACUUCUUUUUGCAUAAAGCAUUGAAUCCAGCACCACUGUUCCAAAAGUUACUGUCCGAACCGUAGUCCUUGUGAAAGGGAGGCCGAGCCCAGUAGUCACCAAACCUGCCUGGGAGUCGCAGGCAAAAGAGGCAGACAAAUCAAGCCAGAUUUAGAAUCUAAGGCUCAACUGGGGGGCAGUGGAUUUUAAAUCACAGGCUCCCAGAAAGUUGUGAAAUAUUUCUGGGGGAGAAAGGACCCCUGAGAGGACACUCGGUCAUGUUCAUCUACCAGAGGGGCAUCAAAGAGGGCACGAGCUCUUAUCAAGGUCAAGAAUCUAUCGCUGAUAACAUCAGAACGCGUGAUCUGGGCUGUCGAAGGCACACAGGAGGUGGUCUGUCAGGAGAUGGGAACUCGGCCGUCGGAGCAAAGAAGAGGAGUUGGGUGAGCUCAGCAUUCGGCUUCGCAUGCCCACGACAUACUUCUACCCUGUGGGAUUACGGGUGGACGACCUAGAUUGCGACACAGCCCUCCUGCCCUCCAUCUAUUUUUCCUUGUUCCCUCCCUCUGCUGACUGGUCAACAGAGAUUACAGUCAGAGAGCAGAGCCUGGCAGGCGGACAGGACGCUGAGCAUGUGACUGAGUGACACUGAGGGACGAAGACAAAAACACUCUUCUCUCUGCUGUUCUUCACUGCUUCUCACUGUUUCCUCUUCUUUAGUCCUUAUGCUCUUCUGUCAUUUACACUGAGCACUGUUAUCCUCCAGAGCAGCAUCUUUAUGGGGAUAUUAUAUUAAGUCCUAUUGUAUUAUAAAAUUAUUCCAGCACAGGAACUGCUUUGUUUUUAAUGUUCACAAGCCCAAGAUUUUACAGUAGUACACAGAAUGUCAUACAAGUGUAGAGAAAGUGGUACCAGGAGAUGAGCUGACAGAUUUCCUUCAACUGCACAAUGAAGAGGAAUCUGGAGCUGGUCUGCCUGUCUGUUAAGGAUUAACUUCAGCUGCUGGUUUACUGAUUGAGUAAACUGGUUCAGGCAUUAAUCCUCCUGCAUGCUGUACUGUGCAGAGGAUCCUCACUUUAUCUGCUGUGAAGGCCCAUGUCGCUCUGGAUGUCACAGAUUUUCUGUCCUUACUCUGUGUGUUUUUUGCGUCACUAAUCAAUUUGUAAAUAGAUCUUCCUGCAGUUAUAAACUUCUUCUCUCCUUCCGACUAAGAGUUGUGUUCAGGGUCAAUAACAUAGCACAUGCAGAGUGAUAUUUGAACGUCCCAAUGCUGCUAUUUUGAUGAGUUGUACGAGUAAUAAAGUUUCCAUUCCACGACAAUUCA